ensembl:lncRNA
AUUGAAAAUGCGGCUGAUGUUCUGUGGUGAACACGGGCAUGGAGUUGUCCUUUCCACUUGUUGCUAAGUAGAAGCUUGCAGCCUCCUGCCGGUCAGCUCGGGAGCGCAAGUAGCCUUUUUUGGCUGCUAAAUUCAUCUAGCGCUGGUGUGAGCAGUGGUGUUAGUAAUCUCUUAUUGCCAGGGGGUGUGUGCUUUAGAAAUUGCCCCUGUCAAAAGAGCAGGGAGCUUGUGAGAUUUUCCUGCAAGGUCUGAAUGCUGUGUCUGUCUUUGAGGUGACCACCUGCUUUUAUGACAUGUUAGGAAGUGUACCAUGUUAGAGGUCUCUGAUUUUCUGUCCGCGUACACAGUCAUUGGAGAAUGGGUUUAACGGCUGUUGAGAAGGAAUGUCACUCUGCCAAAAAUGGUAUGUGCUACGUUUUCCAAGAGAUUUUUUGUCCAGAGAAGUUGAGGCACAAGCGAGAAGCAAGAGGUGGCCUGAUGAGCUGCUGUGAGGGCACUUCUUGUCUGCUUCCUGGAGUCCAGCAUGCCAUCACAGUGUCCUUCUGGGAGACCUGGGUGAGGACUGUUGGUGACCAUGUUCCCUCCUUGGAGCAUGCUCGUGUGAGCCAGAGACGCUCGCGGUUUAAUGGUUUCUGUUAGCCGAGGUUCAGGCUUGGAGUUUCUGAAGGUCUUGAUGCUUCCGUGAGUCUUUGGGAUUUUACUGACUGCCCUGGAGAAAGUUCUCUUCUCCCUGCUUAAAGGCUUUCUGUUGAAGCUGGACYGUCAUUGCAUCUUCCCAUCUCAGACCCUAAUGCAUUCCAAUCCCUCAGCGAGAUGGGUAGUUAAUCAAAGCGGUCAGAGGCAUUUCUCCAGUUUGUGUCUACACAGAGCCUUGCAGAGAGGGGAGAUGGCCACGUCACAAGAAGUCAGGCCUCUGAGGGCGAUGGGUGGCUCUGAGACAGCUGUCCUUGGUCAACAGUGGAGGGGGCAGCUCCAGACCCAGUGAUGCCUUUGGAAAGAGUCUCAGACUAGCAGAUUCCUUGAGGCUGCAAUGGGGGAGACAUGUGGAGGUAGGGAUCCAACGCCCUGCUCAAGGCAGGUGCCAGUAGAGGAGGUAUCUCUGGGCCUUUUCCAGUGCAGUUUUGAUUAUCUCCAGUCUUUGAUUAUCCUGGAGAUCUGAGAAGCCUCUCUGGAUCUGUGUGCCACAGUGCGGCCACCCUCAUGGAGAAAAAGGUUUCUUCUUAACGUUGAAGAAGAAUUUCCCGUUGUGCAAUUUGUCCCGGUUGCCUCUCAUGCUAUUAGUGUGCACCUCCAAGAAAAUCCAUCUCCAUCUUCUCUGUACCCUCCAUAAGGUAGCUGUGCACAGUAUGAAGAUUUCCCUUGGCCUUCUCUUGUCUAGGCUGAACAAAGCCAGCUCUCGCAGCCUCUCCUUGUAUGCCCCACGCUCCAGCCACUGACCGUCUUGGUGUCCCUGUGCUGGACUCCCUGCUGUGUGUUAGUGCCUUUGCAGAACUGGAGGGCCCAGACGGGAGCCGGUAUACAGACACGGUCUCCCCUGUGCCAAAAAGUGGGGUAGAACAUCUCAGUGGCCCUGCUGGCUGUGCUCUCACCAAUACAGCUCAGCAUCGAGGGGAGACAUUUGCUGCUGACUGUUGAGACU